CGUUGACGUUAGGCGCUGCCGGCUCGGGAGGAGGCGCCAUCUUUUGCUGUGAAGCCACGGGGGUUUGGGCUACUGCGAGUUAAAGCGGUAUCGUUUAGAAAGAUCUGGAACGUUCCGUUAUACAAUUGCAUUUGGCAUGAAAGUAUUAGCGACGGCCUGUUACAGUAGUAUUAAAAACCCGGUUCAGCGUGACGUGCCUUCUUGAUGACAUUCUUUCACUUUAUGCGGUGCUGUGUGUUGUGGAGCUGCUGAUUUUUUUUAACCGGCUCGGGGCUCCAGCCCAGCCCUGCCCGGCCCGGCAACAAGAGAAUUUGUUUGGGGUAAAAAAAAAAGGUGUCGCUCCCGGUGGAAAGGAAUCCUGCGUCUAUUCCCCGACGGCUGUUUACUUCCCCAUCUCUGCUCCUCGGUCUGACAGGAAACGCUGCCGACUGCACAUCCUCCCACCGAGGGCCGUCAGUUUGAAGCAAACGGAUGUAUGACACCAUGUCCACAAUGGUGUAUUUAAAAGAAGAUAAACUGGAAAAGCUCUCGCAGGAGGAGAUUAUUGGCAAAACAAAGCAAGUAAUCCAGGGACUUGAAGCCUUAAAAAAUGAGCACAACUCUAUUUUACAUAGCCUGCUGGAAACCCUGAAAUGCCUGAAAAAAGAUGAUGAGAUGAACUUGGUUGAAGAGAAAUCCAAUAUGAUUCGCAAGUCACUGGAAAUGUUAGAACUUGGACUCAGUGAAGCACAGGUGAUGAUGGCAUUAUCUAGUCACUUAAGUGCAGUGGAAUCAGAAAAACAGAAAUUACGUGCGCAGGUGCGUCGGUUAUGUCAGGAAAACCAGUGGCUACGAGAUGAGCUGGCGAACACACAACAAAAAUUGCAAAAGAGUGAGCAGAGUGUAGCUCAAUUGGAAGAGGAAAAGAAACAUUUAGAAUUUAUGAAUCAGCUCAAAAAAUAUGAUGAAGACCUUUCACCACUGGAGGACAAGGAUACUGAUUCAUCCAAAGAGCCAUUGGAUGACCUUUUCCCAAAUGAAGAUGAUGAACCAGGACAAGGAAUUCAACAGCAACAUAGCAGUGCAGCUGCUGCAGCACAGCAGGGUGGCUACGAGAUCCCAGCCAGGCUAAGGACCCUACAUAACUUAGUCAUACAGUAUGCAUCCCAGGGCAGGUAUGAAGUAGCCGUACCACUUUGUAAACAGGCUCUUGAAGAUUUGGAGAAAACAUCAGGGCAUGAUCAUCCUGACGUUGCUACUAUGCUCAACAUUCUUGCUUUGGUGUACAGGGACCAGAACAAGUACAAAGAGGCAGCAAACCUGCUUCAUGAUGCCUUAGCCAUUCGUGAGAAGACCUUGGGUAAAGAUCAUCCUGCGGUGGCAGCUACAUUAAAUAACCUUGCAGUACUUCAUGGAAAAAGGGGAAAAUAUAGAGAGGCUGAGCCCAUGUGUAAGAGAGCACUGGAAAUCCGUGAAAAGGUAUUGGGUAGGGAUCAUCCUGAUGUGGCAAAACAGCUAAAUAAUUUAGCACUAUUGUGUCAGAACCAAGGAAAGUAUGAAGAAGUCGAAUAUUACUAUGAGCGUGCAUUGGAGAUUUACCAAACCAAACUUGGACCUGACGAUCCAAAUGUGGCAAAGACAAAAAACAACUUGGCUUCUUGCUACUUAAAGCAAGGCAAGUUCAAACAAGCAGAAACAUUAUACAAAGAGAUUCUCACUCGCGCUCAUGAGAGGGAGUUUGGUUGUGUGGAUGAUGAAAAUAAGCCUAUUUGGAUGCAUGCUGAAGAAAGAGAGGAACAAUGCAAGGGAAAACCAAAAGAUGGGACCACAUUUGGCGAGUAUGGAGGCUGGCACAAGGCAUGUAAAGUUGACAGUCCGACAGUGACAACAACAUUGAAGAACCUUGGAGCACUUUAUAGACGUCAGGGCAAGUUUGAAGCAGCCGAAACACUGGAAGAAGCAGCUCUGAGAUCCCGUAAACAAGGUCUUGAUAAUAUCCAUAAACAAAGAGUAGCUGAAGUACUUAAUGAUCCUGAAAGCAUCGAAAAAAGAAGAAGUCGUGAAAGCCUAAAUGCUGAUGUGGUAAAAUAUGAAAGUGGCCCUGAUGGUGGCGAGGAAGUGAGUAUGGGCGUAGAGUGGAAUGGGGAUGGAACUGGAUCUCUGAAACGUAGUGGCUCCUUCAGCAAACUUCGUGCCUCCAUCAGACGCAGUAGUGAAAAGCUAGUCAGAAAGCUAAAAGGUGGAAGUCCACGAGAUAAUGAGCCAAAGAAUUCUGGAUUGAAGCCCAGAGUAGCCUGCCAAUCAAACUGGCUUGCCUCAGUUGGAUCAUGGGAUGUUAAUGGUUUAUGGCUCUGACUCUGUUGCUGUCUCAGGGAAAACUUGAAAUACUUUGAAACAAGAAAGUGUUGGCAAGUUGACCUGAGAAGUUGACCUGUGGGCCUUCAUAAAAAUUCUCUUACGCAACUGACUGGCUUUCUAAGCCACGAAAAGUCAGCUACAUUGGUAUGUCACUGGAGUCAUGUAUAGACCAGGAUAUGAAUGAUAAAUUUUCUUCCCUAAAAGCAACGAAAUAAUUGUCUGACAGAAUCCAGAAGUCUGAGUGUCAGCCAUGAUGACCUGACGCACUGUGGAUCAAAAAUUGGCAUAAACUAGACCCUCCAUGUGGAAGAAACAAAAGAUCCUCAUUGCUACAAUGUCUUAUCACUUCUUUUCAAAAUUGAGGUCUUGGAAUAUUAUCCUGUACAAAUGACUUACAGUAAGAUUAUGAUAUUGUAUCAGACCACAAAAUGUCUCUUUCUAUAUUGUGAAUUCUAUAUGUUUCAUUGAUACAAUAUGAUUCAAUGCCAAUAGCAUCAUGGAAAAUUUGUUUUAAAGAGCAAAAUAAAGAAUGCGACAGCUGAGCUGGUGUUAGCUAUGUGGGUAGAAACUACUUUUGUAAGAUCUUUUAGUUAACUUGUACAGCUGAGAUUAUUCUUGCUUGUUAUUUUAAAAUAGAGUCUCAUGUAAACCACUUUUAUCAGCUAUAUUCAAUGAAGGCCACUUUACCUUUUGGCAUCUCAUGUGGCUUACACAUGCCAGAUGUCCAAAUAUUUGUCAUUACAUAAUUGAGUAGCCCAGUAUACCAGAUUUUGUAUUUGUGAGGUUAACAGAUCAUUAAUAAACUAUUAUUAUCCAGAAGAGGAUUAUUUGAAGUACUUGUACAACCUCAAUAUUCUCUGAUAAUACAUGGUUGACUAUACUAUGAACUUGCACUAUGUAAUCCCUAGAAUCAGAUAGAAAUAAUGCUGCUAAUGUGUGUGGAGGUCACUUUUAUUACAAGAUUGCUUUUUAUAAUACCUCAAUCGGCUGUCCGACAUAAGAACGUUACAGAACCACAAUUGAAUGACAAAGCAUACCAAACUUAGUAUUCUGGUUAGUGAAUAAGAUUCAGAUUGAGAAUUGCAGAACAGUUAUGUUUGAAUGCUACUUGGACAAAAAAAAAUAGCGCAGAAUUGAAUAAAACUGGACCUUAUAUAGUUCUUAGCUAAAUGGCAUGCUGUUAAAAGAACAAAACAUGAUACAUAUUUGAAAUUACUGAUGUAUGUACAGGCAUGUAAAUUUGGUGGUGGUCAGUGAAACUGCAGGAAAUGAUUACACAAACAUUUUUAAGUUUGCAAAUUGAGGGUCUUUUUAGAUAACUUCAUCCAUCAUUGCCUCAUUAUCUUGCACUUAUGGACAUAUUUAGCCUGUCUCGUGUGUAAUCAUUUGAUGUUCUGUUUAGGCAGUACCUGGAGUACUACUUGUCUGCUUACAAAGUUAUAGCGUGUUUCAUCUGUUUUUACUUUUAUAUUUGUAUAUUAACAGAAAAUGUAUUUGCACAUAUUAAAAAUGAUAAAAAGUAGGAUUGCAAUUGAAGAUUUAAAUCAUGACAGUUUUGAAAAAUAGAAAAGCCACAGUAGUCAAUAGGUAUGUAGAUUCUCAAUGCCAUUAAAAGGUUUACAUGUGGUUCUACAAACACUUGUGAAUUUUUAAUAUAACAGACUGCAGCAACUGUUAAAGAUGUCACAAGUUGAAUUCUGACUACAUUAGUUACUAGAUUCUGUGCAAUAUAGCAGAAAAAUGUAAGAGAUGUUGGUUAAGGCUACUAAAAUUAAAAUCAGUUGUAGUUGCAUAUGCGUGUUAAAAAACUGCAGAUUUACACAUUUAUUUAACAAAGCCUCUAAUCCAGAAAUUAAAUCAGUGCCACCUCAAGUUAAUAUACUAAAAUUGGAUUUACAUGACUGCUGUGAUCUUAAUACAAGACCAUUUGAGGACAAUGAUUUCUGCAGGUAGUGAAUUUUUUAGUGUCAGAAGAGAGAUUGUUUAAUAAGUUUAGCUGAUGAGUUUGGAUCCAGUUAACAGACGUUUAGUUGUGUAUUGCACUUUCACUAGGAAUAGCCUGUGUAGCCAUGACAUUGCAUGUAAUGUUUUAACUCACCUGUAAAAGUUCAAAAUGCUACCAGUAAGCAAGUAUGAAUAUACUGUAUUAUUGUCAUGAUUUUUCAUAGGACUGAAGACUUGUGCAUUGGUAUGUUGGAUAUAUUUGACCUAUUUUACAAUAUUUAUGUUCAAAACGUAUGAAAUUUACAUUUGUUGUGAAAUAACUAGUAAGAAAUAAAAGCAAUUUUUAAAAAUC